CUUUGUUCAAUAAGGUUUUCUAAUAAAUUAUGUUUUUAUCAGAUAUGACAGAAUCUUUUUUAAAAUCUCUUCAAUAUGCUUUUAUUGCUUUUGAGAGGUUUUGUUACUUUGAGUAAAAUUAAGUGUUCAUAACAGACGGGUAGUCAUGAUUGAGUUCAUUGUGU
rnacentral:rRNA from 1 species